rnacentral:tRNA from 1 species
UCUUCGAUAGCUCAAUUGGUAGAGCCGGGUCCCUAGAUUGGAUUCGUCUGCUGUGUGUUGUCGCAGAGGCGUGGGUUCGAUUCCCACUCGAAGAG